AUGUGGGUGUUUCCUGGGCACCAGGGACUCUCUCCUCCGAGACACCUCCUGUCAGGCGGAGGGCGGAGGGCGGAGGGCGGAGGUGUGCCUUCCGGAUUUGGAGGUGGGUUCGCCGCCUGGUUGGGUGGCAGUGGGUUUGGAAGGCUUGAAACAGGUCCUGGGCUUUGGCGUGCUUGGGGUUCCUUCGAGGCAGGCGCCCAGACACACACAGCCUCAGGAUUGGGCCGCCAGCUGGCCCUGGUCAAGCCCUCCGCAUCAGGGCUUCAGGUAGGUGAGAAGGAGUGUGGUGCUGAGGAAUCCAUGGGGGCUUCGGGGGCAAGAGUGUUGGUAGCUGGGCUCAUCCGCCUGUUUUCUCUCUCUGUCUCUCACGCCCACCCACACACACACACACACACACACACACACACACACACACUCAGGAGGCUGAGGGAAAUGUCCUUGUGUCCUUUGAGAGAGCCUCUCUUGGCAGCAGGGGCCAGGCUAUGGAGGCCU
rnacentral:lncRNA from 9 species